UCGGAAGAAGGGUCGAAGAUUUCACAGCAACUCAAAAAGCGUAUUGAGGUGACAGAAAGAUAUCCUGAAAUUGAACUAGCAUAUUUGAUUGGAUGGCCGUCCUGCAGAAGUUCAAGCCUCCAGUCAGAGCCCCUUUCCAUGUUGUUCCAAACAGAUUAUUUGAUACAGUAACAAGCAACUAUAGCAAAAGGAUAGAUGUUGUAUUCGAUGUAUAUCAAGAACAAUCUAUUAAGAAUGUGGAGAGGUCAGAAAGGGCUUCCGAAUCUGAUAGAAUCAAGUACAAGAACAUUCUGCCUGGUUACAAGGUUAAGUCAUGGAGCAAACUGUCGAGUGCUGCCUCAAACAAGGUUGAGAUUGUGAAGUUGCUUGUGUCUCAGUGGGAAAAGGAAGAGUUCAGGGGCAAGCUUGGUGACAGAACAUUGUAUGUUACUAUUCAGGAUGAAUGCUAGAAGUUAGACUCCACCAUGUCUGAGCCGGUUCCUGAAUUGAAGUGCAGUCACAAAGAAGCUGACACAUGCAUGAUCCUCCAUGCACAGCAUGCUGGCAGUACGUGAUAGUUAUUCCAAGGAUACAGGUGUCCAAAUCCUGCUUCUUAGCCAUGGUCAAGCCCUUGGAAAGUGUUACAUAAAGAAAGACAGAAGCAUGAAGACUAGCAUAAUUGAACUGUCCAUUGUGGCAGAGAGUCUUUUCAAGCAGCUAAGUCCGGGCAUAUCAGAGUACAUGCAUUGACAGGAUGUGAGACAGUAUCCGCAUCUUCUGGAAAGGGAAAGUGGAACGCAAUCCAACUACUUCUCAAGAAUGAAAGUUGUGUGAAAGCAAUGGUGGAAAUAGGAGAGACAUGGAGUGUAUCCAAUGCAACAUUUAAUGCUGCUGAAGCUCUAGUAUGUCACCUGUAAAGGCCAGAAUGUGGAUCUGUUACACUAUGAGCUGUUCUGUGCAAAGGGAAGAAAAGUAGAUCCAGAAGCACUGCCAUGUAGGACGUCGCUGCGUCUACACAUGAAGUGUGCCAAUUAUCAAGCAGUUAUCUGGAGAACAGCUGUGAUUCCGCAUCCAGAUGUUCCCUCUCCUCACGGGCACAGCUGAAAAGUAUGCAGUACAUCGAAGCUAGUGGAAUUUGUCUGGCUUGGAAGUAAGCCUGCUCCAGAAGAAGUCCUCGAACUAAUGUCUUGCACAUGCAAAAGAGUUUGCUCUGUGGAAACAUGCUCUUGUUUGAGAGCUGGACUCAAAUGCACUGACAUGUGUACUUUGCAAUGUGAGAACAUGGUGUUAGAUAACGUUCUUGAGAAUGAAAAUCCAGAUGGAAGUGAUGACAAAGAUGCUGAUGAUUGACUACAUUAAUCACAGCUUAAAUCAGCCAGUAAAGGUUUCGAAACAUUUAUGUUUUGCUUAUUCAUGUUAACCUCUGAAUACUUCGGUGACUUCAGUUCCCACUUUCUUUCCAGUUCUAAUCCUGUCUGUCUGAAACAUAAGGAUGCUAAUCUGCAUAGUCUAGAACCAUGACAACUCAUAAAGUGAUCAAACAAACGAAAGAAUUUGUAAGUAUUGUGCUUUAAAAACCUCACUUGUAAAUUAAAACUAAAUAGAAAGUGGAGUAAAAAAGUUUUAUUGAAAGGUCAUCCUGCCUGUGGACAAGAAAAGUAAGGAAAACUAAAAAAUUUUGCAUAAGCUCUGAAAAAAUGACGUCAUUCAUGAUGUCAUAUCGUUAUUGUUCCAAUAAUGACAAGAACAUGAAAUAUACAUAUGGAUUCCCUUAAAUACAUCCUUCAUUAAUGUUUUAACCUGCUUUGGGUAUAAUUUUAUGAACCUGCAUACUCUACAAGAAAAUCUCAUUUAACACAAAAUGGCAGCUAUUGGUUGAGUUGAAUGAGCACAUUUCAAACAUGACUUUUAGAAUGAAGGCUACCGUUAUUGUGUGAUGCAUUAUAUAUAUACUUAGUAUUUUAACCAGUUGUAAAUAAUUAAUGUCUUAAUUUUUUUUAUUAUCAGGAGAUAAACUAGAAAGGGAUAACCUCUUUUAUCUCCUUUUCACUUUCCUGUGGAUUUGUGAAUAAACAGUCAUUAUUUUAUUAUUAUUUAUUUUAGGUAAGUAGAGCCUUAGUCGUUCAAUUUCUUUGAUAUACUUAUCAAUACAAGUUUAAGGAAGUACGUCAAGGAACCAGAAUAGCGAACUUCACCAAUCGACAUCCUUUAUAACACAAGUUUCACCAACAGGCAAAAGUAAAAAACACAAAGGAUGCAAAUGGCCUAUGAGAUCCUGGAGGGGAGGAUAUCAUGAGUAUAAAUUCCUUUAAUGUUGAGCAGGGCACAAGGACAUAGUACAAUCUAUUGGUAUGUAAAGUCGAAAUGGCAUUAUUUGUUUACAUGUACAUUAUAAAUCAACAUGUCACGAUAUAACGUAACAAGCUCAAAUCUUAUGUUACAGCUUUACGAGUCUUGCACAAUUUGGAAACACAGUACUGUUUUGCCCACAGGGUGAUGCAAGGUAUACAGCUACAUGCAGUGUGCAGAGAUCAGUGAUAACCUUAGCCAAUGCAAUACCUCAAUGAUUAGUAGAUUUAAAUUUUGAAUUUCUUACCAUGGAAAACUGACUCAUACUGAAUUUGCUGCAAUGACAGUAAAACCCAAAGAAAGCUACCAGCAGGGUGCAAAGAUGAAGCUCAGACAUCGCUCAAAAUUAAAGAUCAGAAAUGACAAAUUGUAGCAAGGGAAAAGCUGUGGGCAUAGGAAAAAUAGUACAUCAGUAAUAGCAGAAAGGCUGAAGGGUGCAUAUGUACGUCUGUGUGUUGGUCCUUGAACGUAAGCACCAUGUGGCUGAAUUGUUUGAUUUAUCUUUAUUUUCAUGGUUUUAGAAACCACAACCCUACACUUCAUCCACAUCUUCUGACUUUAAACCUGCCAAGUUAUCAAAUCUGGUGAGCAGUUGCUUGUUUAAAGUGGCAUGCACAGAGAUACAUUAAUGUACAUCAAUUUUUGUUAAUAGUUGAAGAAAAGGAAACUAUUCGAGAGUAUCAGAAAAGACAUGAAGAAACACGAAGUUCCCCAACAAUCUAAAAGGCUGUGCAUGCCCACGGAACGUACAGACAAUACUGCUUUCAGCUCUGAUGAUGGGGAUCAUGAAGAUCAAGCAGUAAUUAAUCUCGUUCUUGAAGAUAAAAAA